GUGGGGAAUAUUGCGCAAUGGGGGCAACCCUGACGCAGCAACGCCGCGUGAGCGAUGAAGGUCUUCGGAUUGUAAAGCUCUGUCAGUGGGAAAGAUGGGACAUCCGGUGAAUACCCGGUAUGUUUUGACGGUACCCACAAAGGAAGCACCGGCUAACUCUGUGCCAGCAGCCGCGGUAAGACAGAGGGUGCAAGCGUUGUUCGGAAUCACUGGGCGUAAAGCGCGUCUAGGCGGAGACACAAGUCUGGUGUGAAAGCCCGGGGCUUAACCCCGGAAGUGCAUUGGAAACUGUGUUUCUGGAGUCUCGGAGAGGGUGGUGGAAUUCCCAGUGUAGAGGUGAAAUUCGUAGAUAUUGGGAGGAACACCGGUGGCGAAGGCGACCACCUGGACGAUGACUGACGCUGAAGCGCGAAAGCGUGGGGAUCAAACAGGAUUAGAAACCCCAGUAGUCC
rnacentral:rRNA from 1 species